rfam:Ethanoligenens harbinense YTAN-3, complete genome.
GUAAUGAAACUUCCGUUCAGUCACAGUCCGAGCGUGAUAAAACCGUCGCAGGCAAUGAGAACGGCCCGCCAUCAUCAUGGGGGGAGGUGCAAUUCCUAUGG